UACAGAGGUCUCAAGCGUUGUUCGGAUUCAUUGGGCGUAAAGGGCGCGUAGGCGGCGGGGCAAGUCGGGUGUGAAAUCUCAGAGCUCAACUCUGAAACUGCACUCGAUACUGCUUUGCUCGAGGACUGGAGAGGAGAUUGGAAUUCACGGUGUAGCAGUGAAAUGCGUAGAUAUCGUGAGGAAGACCAGUGGCGAAGGCGGAUCUCUGGACAGUUCCUGACGCUGAAGCACGAAGGCCAGGGGAGCAAACGGG
rnacentral:rRNA from 1 species